GCAGUGGGAGCCUCUUAAUGGGGUGACUGCGUACCUUUUGUAUAAUGGGUCAGCGACUUAUAUUCUGUAGCAAGGUUAACCGAAUAGGGGAGCCGAAGGGAAACCGAGUCUUAACUGGGCGUUAAGUUGCAGGGUAUAGACCCGAAACCCGGUGAUCUAGCCAUGGGCAGGUUGAAGGUUGGGUAACACUAACUGGAGGACCGAACCGACUAAUGUUGAAAAAUUAGCGGAUGACUUGUGGCUGGGGGUGAAAGGCCAAUCAAACCGGGAGAUAGCUGGUUCUCCCCGAAAGCUAUUUAGGUAGCGCCUCGUGAAUUCAUCUCCGGGGGUAGAGCACUGUUUCGGCAAGGGGGUCAUCCCGACUUACCAACCCGAUGCAAACUGCGAAUACCGGAGAAUGUUAUCACGGGAGACACACGGCGGGUGCUAACGUCCGUCGUGAAGAGGGAAACAACCCAGACCGCCAGCUAAGGUCCCAAAGUCAUGGUUAAGUGGGAAACGAUGUGGGAAGGCCCAGACAGCCAGGAUGUUGGCUUAGAAGCAGCCAUCAUUUAAAGAAAGCGUAAUAGCUCACUGGUCGAGUCGGCCUGCGCGGAAGAUGUAACGGGGCUAAACCAUGCACCGAAGCUGCGGCAGCGACACUAUGUGUUGUUGGGUAGGGGAGCGUUCUGUAAGCCUGUGAAGGUGGCCUGUGAGGGUUGCUGGAGGUAUCAGAAGUGCGAAUGCUGACAUAAGUAACGAUAAAGCGGGUGAAAAGCCCGCUCGCCGGAAGACCAAGGGUUCCUGUCCAACGUUAAUCGGGGCAGGGUGAGUCGACCCCUAAGGCGAGGCCGAAAGGCGUAGUCGAUGGGAAACAGGUUAAUAUUCCUGUACUUGGUGUUACUGCGAAGGGGGGACGGAGAAGGCUAUGUUGGCCGGGCGACGGUUGUCCCGGUUUAAGCGUGUAGGCUGGUUUUCCAGGCAAAUCCGGAAAACCAAGGCUGAGGCGUGAUGACGAGGCACUACGGUGCUGAAGCGACAAAUGCCCUGCUUCCAGGAAAAGCCUCUAAGCAUCAGGUAACAUCAAAUCGUACCCCAAACCGACACAGGUGGUCAGGUAGAGAAUACCAAGGCGCUUGAGAGAACUCGGGUGAAGGAACUAGGCAAAAUGGUGCCGUAACUUCGGGAGAAGGCACGCUGAUAUGUAGGUGAAGCGACUUGCUCGUGGAGCUGAAAUCAGUCGAAGAUACCAGCUGGCUGCAACUGUUUAUUAAAAACACAGCACUGUGCAAACACGAAAGUGGACGUAUACGGUGUGACGCCUGCCCGGUGCCGGAAGGUUAAUUGAUGGGGUUAGCGGUAACGCGAAGCUCUUGAUCGAAGCCCCGGUAAACGGCGGCCGUAACUAUAACGGUCCUAAGGUAGCGAAAUUCCUUGUCGGGUAAGUUCCGACCUGCACGAAUGGCGUAAUGAUGGCCAGGCUGUCUCCACCCGAGACUCAGUGAAAUUGAACUCGCUGUGAAGAUGCAGUGUACCCGCGGCAAGACGGAAAGACCCCGUGAACCUUUACUAUAGCUUGACACUGAACAUUGAGCCUUGAUGUGUAGGAUAGGUGGGAGGCUUUGAAGUGUGGACGCCAGUCUGCAUGGAGCCGACCUUGAAAUACCACCCUUUAAUGUUUGAUGUUCUAACGUUGGCCCGUAAUCCGGGUUGCGGACAGUGUCUGGUGGGUAGUUUGACUGGGGCGGUCUCCUCCUAAAGAGUAACGGAGGAGCACGAAGGUUGGCUAAUCCUGGUCGGACAUCAGGAGGUUAGUGCAAUGGCAUAAGCCAGCUUGACUGCGAGCGUGACGGCGCGAGCAGGUGCGAAAGCAGGUCAUAGUGAUCCGGUGGUUCUGAAUGGAAGGGCCAUCGCUCAACGGAUAAAAGGUACUCCGGGGAUAACAGGCUGAUACCGCCCAAGAGUUCAUAUCGACGGCGGUGUUUGGCACCUCGAUGUCGGCUCAUCACAUCCUGGGGCUGAAGUAGGUCCCAAGGGUAUGGCUGUUCGCCAUUUAAAGUGGUACGCGAGCUGGGUUUAGAACGUCGUGAGACAGUUCGGUCCCUAUCUGCCGUGGGCGCUGGAGAACUGAGGGGGGCUGCUCCUAGUACGAGAGGACCGGAGUGGACGCAUCACUGGUGUUCGGGUUGUCAUGCCAAUGGCACUGCCCGGUAGCUAAAUGCGGAAGAGAUAAGUGCUGAAAGCAUCUAAGCACGAAACUUGCCCCGAGAUG
rnacentral:rRNA from 1 species